rnacentral:rRNA from 1 species
AACGAACGCUGGCGGCAGGCCUAACACAUGCAAGUCGAACGCACCGCAAGGUGAGUGGCGCACGGGUGAGUAACACGUGGGAAUGUACCCUUUGGUUCGGAAUAACGUUUGGAAACGAACGCUAAUACCGGAUGAGCCCUGCGGGGGAAAGAUUUAUCGCCAAAGGAGCAGCCCGCGUCUGAUUAGCUAGUUGGUGGGGUAAAGGCCUACCAAGGCGACGAUCAGUAGCUGGUCUGAGAGGAUGAUCAGCCACACUGGGACUGAGACACGGCCCAGACUCCUACGGGAGGCAGCAGUGGGGAAUAUUGGACAAUGGGCGCAAGCCUGAUCCAGCCAUGCCGCGUGAGUGAUGAAGGCCUCGGUGUAAGACUCUUUCGUCACGCGACGAUGAUGACGGUAGCGUGAGAAGAAGCCCGGCUAACUCGUUGCCAGCAGCCGCGGUAAU